AACGUUGGCGGCGUGCUUAAUACAUGCAAGUCAACUGAAGCACCGGUAGUAAUACUGGUGUGGAGGUGGCGCACGGGUGAGUAACACGUAGGUAAUCUGCCUUCAGGUCUGACAUAACCCCGAGAAAUCGGGGCUAAUAGCAGAUGAUGCAGCGGCUUGACAUCAAGACAGUUGUUAAAGCUUCGGCGCCUGAAGAUGAGCCUGCGUCUGAUUAGCUAGUUGGCGGAGUAAUGGCCCACCAAGGCUACGAUCAGUAACUGGUCUGAGAGGAUGAUCAGUCACACUGGAACUGAGACACGGUCCAGACUCCUACGGGAGGCAGCAGUAAGGAAUAUUGCUCAAUGGGAGAAAUCCUGAAGCAGCAACGCCGCGUGAGGGAUGAAGGGCUUUUGCUCGUAAACCUCUGUAGUGAGGGAAAAAUUUCCACUCUGUGGAAUAUGAUGGUACCUCAAAAGUAAGCCCCGGCUAACUACGUG
rnacentral:rRNA from 1 species